rnacentral:rRNA from 1 species
AUUGAACGCUGGCGGCAGGCCUAACACAUGCAAGUCGAGCGGUAGAGAGAAGCUUGCUUCUCUUGAGAGCGGCGGACGGGUGAGUAAUGCCUAGGAAUCUGCCUAGUGGUGGGGGAUAACGUUCGGAAACGGACGCUAAUACCGCAUACGUCCUACGGGAGAAAGCGGGGGACCUUCGGGCCUCGCGCCAUUAGAUGAGCCUAGGUCGGAUUAGCUAGUUGGUGAGGUAAUGGCUCACCAAGGCUACGAUCCGUAACUGGUCUGAGAGGAUGAUCAGUCACACUGGAACUGAGACACGGUCCAGACUCCUACGGGAGGCAGCAGUGGGGAAUAUUGGACAAUGGGCGAAAGCCUGAUCCAGCCAUGCCGCGUGUGUGAAGAAGGUCUUCGGAUUGUAAAGCACUUUAAGUUGGGAGGAAGGGUAGUAAC